AUUUUUGCUGCUAUGAAAGCCUCUUUAUUUUUAACACAUUCCUAAGUAAUUUUGAUUCUGUACUCUAGAGGUGAUUUUAAUUUCUGAUAAGACAACCUAAAAUUUAUUCUGAAGUCACAUAAUUUAUUUUAAAAGAUAUAAGUUCUAUAAAAUGCACUUAUUUAUGUAUUAAGACAGAUGUGUCUUAACACAACCACCACCCAAUACUAAGAGUCAAACCCAGGACUUUGCAAAUGCUGAGUGCUUUUUUUUUUUUUUUCCCUUUUCCUUUUUUUCCUUUCUCCGAGACAGGGUUUCUCUGUGUAGCCCUGGCUGUCCUGGAACUCACUCUGUAGACCAGGCUGGCCUCUGCCUCCCAAGCUGAGUGCUUUAUAUUGAGUGAUAAAUCUGGAUAUCUCUCUCUCUCUCUCUCUCUCUCUCUCUCUCUCUCUAAUGUUGGUAUUAAUUUAUUGCCAUUUAUUUGAAGUAUCUAGCACUAUACCCUAUCAGAUUUUUCUUUUUCCUUUCUUUCCUUUCUUUCUUUCUCUUCCUUUUCUUAAACAAACAAACAAUUUGCUAUAGGAGCCGGGCGUGGUGGCACACGCCUUUAAUCCCAGCACUUGGGAGGCAGAGGCAGGCGGAUUUCUGAGUUCGAGGCCAGCCUGGUCUACAAAGUGAGCUCCAGCACAGCCAGAGCUAUAAAGAGAAACCCUGUCUCGAAAAACCAAAAAAAACCAAAAACCAAACCAAACCAAAACAAAACAAAACAACAAAAAAAAAAACUAGACUCCACAAUUUGCUAUAGGUUUACCCAUCUUAACAGUGUCUUGGAAAAGAAACUGAUAAGAACUCUGUGGUUUAUGUUUUAUGGUCAAUAUAUUUUUACUAUGGAAGCAACUGAAUUGGCUUAAUAUUGGGCACAUUUGCUUCUAUAAUGAUCUUCUUUCUAGUUCUCAAUAAGAAUAAUCACAAAAGUGAAAAGAAAGGAUGUGUUGUGUGUAAGAGAAAUUGCUAAAAUGCAUUGUUCUGUAAGUUCCAUUUCCAAAUAUGGCAGGCAGUAUGUGGUGUAAAUCACAGACUUCACUGUACAUCUGUGAACAUGACAUGGCUGUUAUUUCUCAGUGGCUCUAGUCUUAUGUUAUUAUACUAGGUGCCCUAUUAACCGUGCAUACGGAAGAACUGAAAAUUGUGCAGAAUGGAAAGAAAACUAGGAUGGUCUGUAAUGAUAGUUGGCAUACUCUACCUUGAAAUCAAUCAUACGAAAUUUAUGCUAAACACUGUAGUAAGAUGGAGAGAUGGCCAGUAUUGAAGACCACUUGUAACUCCUCCAGAGAACCCACGUCAGUACCUAGCACCCCAUCAGACAGCUCACCAGCCACCUGACAGUUCCAAGGAUCCAGCACCCUCUCUGGCUUCUGAGUCCACACAUGCGUGCAUGCGUACACACACAGACACAUACCACCUUUUAAAAACAAGUUUAAUAAAUACAUAUACCAGUAUUUUGUAGGAUUGGUCAUAUAAAAAAUUCUUUCUGUUUAUUAACAAUGGAUAGUAAACUAAUUCUUUUAAAUGACACUUGCUAAAAAAUGAAAUAUGUACAGAGUAGUCGCAUUAAAGGUAGGUAAUAGCUUUACACUGAAAACUAAAACACAAAGUAGAGAACCUAAAAUGAAAAGCCAUGUAAUAUAUGUAUUGUUCUUACCUAUGUCAGUGAAAAGGUAAGUGGCUGUCCUUUGUUUUUACUUGGAUGGCACUAUCUGAGCUGGUGAUAGUACAUUUGGGAAUACAAAAGAAUGUAGAGCAGAGUGAAGAUCAUGAGAUGCUCUAGACAGAGAAAUGGGACUGGUUUUCAACCAUGAAAUGAUAGGCUUUCUAACACAUUUUUACUAAACCAAUCAGAUAGCUAAAAUGCUGAAAAUAAACUGGUGUCUUCCAUCACGUGACGUGAGCAGUUGACUUGUAACAUUUCAUAGGGUUAAAUUUGAGAAUAAAUGAAAGAUCCAAACACAAAAUGGACACCUUGGAUGAAUCAAAUAUUAGAAGAACAAGACCUAAGAAACACAAACUAGAAGCAGAAAAUGUUAAAUGUUUAUUUUUCAGAGAUAUUUAAGGAACUAAAGCGCAAGCCACAGACCUGGAAAAAGUAUUUACAAAGGAUCUGUGUCCAGAGGACACAAAGAACUUCACAACUUAAGAGGAAGAUAAUAAUCAAGGGGAAGUUGGGUAAAGAACUUAGAUUUAUUUACCACAGAAGAUAUUUAGAUGGCAUAAAUGUUUAUGAAAAAAAUAAGUCAUUAGCCACUAGGAAAUUAAACUUGAAGUCACUUGCCUGAUAUGUGCAAGGCUCCUGGCUCAGUCUCCGUACCAAAACACC
rnacentral:lncRNA from 1 species